CAGCCGCCGCGGGAAUACGAAGGGUGCAAGCGUUAAUCGGAAUUACUGGGCGUAAAGCGUGCGUAGGCGGUUUGUUAAGUCUGUUGUGAAAUCCCCGGGCUCAACCUGGGAAUGGCAAUGGAUACUGGCAAGCUAGAGUGUGUCAGAGGAUGGUGGAAUUCCCGGUGUAGCGGUGAAAUGCGUAGAGAUCGGGAGGAGCAUCAGUGGCGAAGGCGGCCAUCUGGGACAACACUGACGCUGAGGCACGAAAGCGUGGGGAGCAAACAGGAUUAGAUACCCCAGUAGUCCCUGUCUCUUAUAC
rnacentral:rRNA from 1 species